rnacentral:rRNA from 1 species
AUUGAACGCUAGCGGGAUGCCUUACACAUGCAAGUCGAACGGAGUGGCGAACGGGUGAGUAAUGUAUCGGUACGUGCCUAGUAGCGGGGGAUAACUACGAGAAAGAGUAGCUAAUACCGCAUACUAGUGGAGCGGUCGAUAUCGGAUUAGCUAGUUGGUGGGGGAACGGCGUACCAAGGCGACGGUCCUUAGCUGGUUUGAGAGGAUGACCAGCCACACUGGGACUGAGACACGGCCCAGACUCCUACGGGAUGCAGCAGUGGUGAAUUUUGGACAAUGGGUGCAACCCUGAUCCAGCCAUGCCGCGUGUGCGAAGAAGGCCUUCGGGUUGUAAAGUACUUUUAGCAGGAAGGCGGUACCUGCAGAAGAAGCACCGGCUAACUACGUGCCAGCCGCCGCGGUAAUAC